rnacentral:rRNA from 1 species
AGCUAAAAGAAAUAAUAUAUUUUUAGUAAAGCCUGCCCAGUGAUUUUAAUUUAACGGCCGCAGUACCUUGACUGUGCUAAGGUAGCAUAAUAAAUUGGCUUUUAAUUAAAGUCUGGAAUGAAUGGCACUUUAAAAUUUUUCUGUCAUAAUAAAUUAUUUAUUUUAACUUAUUUAUUUGGNGAAAAUACCAAAACUAUUAGUAAAAAGACGAGAAGACCCUAAGAAUUUAAAAUAUUUUUUGUUGGGGCGACAAAAAGACAUAUAAACUCUUUUUAUUUUUUAAUAUAUAACGCAUAAUAUUAAUUAAAAAUAAGUUACCUUAGGGAUAACAGCAUAAUUAGUUUUUAACUGUUUAUGACCUCGAUGUUGGACUAGAAAAUUUUUUUACUAGCUGUUAAAAAAGUUUGUUCUGUUCGAACAAUUAUUUUCU